rnacentral:lncRNA from 1 species
GGGGAGGGGAGACCCGCACAGAGCUCUGAGCUCCUCUUGGCUGUCCUGAAGGACCGUCCUGCAGAGAGGCUUCCCCGCCAGCUCCACCCAGAGGGACAGAGCAGAUGGAAAACUGGAGCAAGCCCCAUCUUGGGUCAGGGAAGAAAAUAUCCUUUUUUUCCUCCUCUCUAAAAAUAUGUUCAGGGCUUUUUUAAGCCUUGAUGCAAUGAAAACCAGCUGUGGCUCCAACACCCCCGCAGCCUGCGCCCAGGGAGAAGGAAAACAAAAACAGGCGCUCAGGCACAGCAGGGCUGAGCCAGGGCCCCGCCUGCAGGCACCUCUGGCCCAGUACUGCUCCCAGAGGACAUCGAACAGUCCCUGUUUGUUCCCUGUGGUGCGGGCACAGGGCACCGAGGUCACUUGGCCCUUCCUCCCUUCAGGGUGCUGAGGAUGAUUUGGUGACACAGGGAAGGGGGUGUGCAAGGUGACCGAGAGUGUCCUCCAGCAACCAAGAGGAGGGAGAGGCCAUGUCUGACACGAGGAUGGGGAAGGCUAACGGGAGCAGGUGACAUUUGGAUGGCCUUAGAGGAAGGAGACAGGGCAGAGUGUUCCAGGAGGAAGAAGCAGAAUCCACAAAGGCCUGGAGAAGGGGAUAGAGAGUGGCCAGAAUGGAAGAAGGGUGGGAGCCAGGGAGAUGGCUGGAGAUGGAAACCGGGACCCUGGACUCUGGGCAAGAUGUUUGUGUGGGAUGGGGAGCUAUGGAAGGUGCUUGAGCAGGGGAAUGGCUGGUCUAGAGGCUAUUUGGAGGGGAAGGCUGUUGCCCUAGUGGAGCCCAGGGCUUUGUUGGGGAGUUCCUUAAAAAGGAAGCCACACCUUCCAACGGGGCUUUGGUACCUUGGUUCACCCCCAGGCCAAGGCUCUGGAGGACGAGGAGAGCCCUGGGGGCUUGGGGUGAGGAGAUGGCUUCUGGCUCUGACUUGGCUGUGGUCUCCUGUGUCCUUCCUGGGCUUUACUUUUCCACCUGCCAAGAGCGACCCCAGGCCCUUGGUCCUUCCCUGGAGUGGCAGUGUUAGGGGCUCACCAGGCCUCCAGGCUGCGGGGCUGCUGGGCAGUGGGGAGGUUGGCCUCCAGACAGGAGGGAUUGUCCACUGUCACCCACAUGCCAGUGGCCAGCAGGAUGGAGACCUCCGGGCAGGAGGCUUCUCUGUGGAUUCCUGGCUCCUAGGUCCCCCGAGAGCUGCUUGCUGCUGUGAGGGGCCUGCUUCUCCCUCCUGGGGAAGGAGGUUUAAGUAGAGCUCAGCAAGGGGGUCCUUCCUGCCUGUCCUCUCAUUUCCUUUGGCACAACCCUGUGGGCCUGGCUUUAUUUAUUUAUUUGGUACCAGGGAUUGGACCCAGAACCCAGAGGUGCUUAAUCACUGAGCAACAUCCCCAGCCCCCCCCCCUUUUUUUUUUCAUUUAGAGACAGGGACUUGCUGAGUUGCUUAGGGCCUCACUAAGUUGCUGAGGCUGGCUUUGAACUUGUGAUCCUCCUGCCUCACCUCCUGGCCCGCUGGGAUUACAGGUAUACACCACCCUGCCUGCCUUUUUGUUGCCUGUUUUAGCAAAAGAUAAAAUUGAGGCUCCAGAGGAGAUGGACUCCCCCAGGACCUGCAGCUGAUGCGGAGAAGGGCUAGCACAGAGCCCUGUCUGCCUGCCUCUGGCUGCCUCCUCCACACCUGUCCUCUGCAGCCAGACUUGAGCUCCGAAAGGCCGGGCCCAUAGCAGGUGCUUAGGAAAUGUUCCUGGAAUGGACGGUUUGGGGAGGAAUAGAGGCCUCUGCCCCUCAUUCACCUCCUUUGCUGGCCACAAGGGCUCCCCGACUUCAGGCAGUCCCCAUAGGAUGGCCCUUCAACAACCUCCAGUCCCCACACAGUGCCCAAGGGAGGGGAUGCAGUCUCCCUGUCUGGGCCUGCUGCCCCCGAAGCCCAGCCAGGUGAGUGGCCAGGAUGACCACGUGGAGGUAAACGGAGGUGACAGCCAGGAGCUCUCCCCAAGGAGAGGCUGGGAGAGGGGCCACUGGGGCUACCAAGGUGCUUGGGGACCCCUGCAAAUUUAGAAAAGCACCCCCCACACCAAUGGCAGACACCUGAAACCCUAAUGUGUGCUUGUCCUGGACCAUGCUUCUUCCUGGACCAGCUCUGCUCUUGGCCUUGGUGCUGCUCAGUGUUUUCUGGGGUCUCUGAGUGGUGCCAGCUCCGGCUGGCCCCCUGCCAUUGUUGCAGUCUUGCCCCGCAUGCGCCACAGGUCCCCAGCCAACCCAGAGCUCUGCCUUCUCUGCCCGAGCCUGGACUUUCCUUCCGGUCAAGGCUUUCUCCUCUGCUUGCAUUGGGUCCUGAGCCCUCCUUCUGCAGCCUCUCCAAGGCCCCAGGAACCAGGGGCCCCCCGAGAAAUAAUAACAGCAGCACUAAUGUCAAUCAUGGCUUCAGUAGGUUUUAUUGAGCACUAGCUAAGUGCUCCGCAAACUCUAUUCUUCUUAAUGCUCACGAUAGGCCCAGAAAGUAGUUAGCUGUGCAGACUCCUGUGACCCCAGGUGACAAGAAGCCUGUGGCUCAGUGGAGGACCCACUUCCAUGGUGCCAGGCUUGUGUUCACUGAGCCCCCUGGGGAUCAUCAAAACCUCCAGAUGCCCGAGCUCUGCCCAAGGGGUUGUGGCUUCAUUCCUCUGGGUGUGCCUUGGGUUUUGGGAUUUUUAAAGGGUUCCCAGAAAAGUCUGAAUAUGCAAACAAGUUUGGGAAGCACCGGUUUUCUGAAGAGAAUUUAAUGAAGGGACUUUCAAAAACCCCAAUGAGCAGCUUUGCUGAGAUUUAAAUGACCCACAGUGAACUGCACAUAAUCAAAAUAUGCCAUUUGAUACUUUAAAAAAAAAAAAAAAAACUACCUUAACCAUUUCAAGUAUAGAGUUCGGGAGUUCUAAGUGUGUUCCCACUGUUAGGUGACCAGUCUCCAGAACGCUCCCAUCCCGUGACACAGAGAGUCACUAGGACCCACGAAGACUCCCCAACAUUCCCUCUCCCAGCCCCCACUUUGUCUUUAUGACUCUAAAUACCUCGCGUGAGUGGAAUCAUAGAGCAUUUGUGACUAAUUUCACUUAGCACGAUGUCCUCGAGGGCCAUCCUUAAACGGGGUGACAGGGUUUCCUUCCCUUUCAAAGCUAAUAUUCCAUUUUACACACAUUCCUUUGCUUGACCCUUGUCUCUCGUGGACAUCGAGGCUGCUUCCUCCUCUGGCCACUGUGGACAAUGCUGCUUUGGACAUUGGCUGCAGACAUCUCUUGCAGACCUCGCCUUCAAUUCCCCUGGGUAUACCUUGAAGUGGCACUGCUGGGUCACAGCUAGUCCUCUUUCCAGUUUCUUGGGGACCCACCACAUUGUUUGCUAGUGGCUGUGACAUUUCCCGUUCCCACCCACAGCGUGCAGUGUUCUGGUCUCCCCCUGUCCUCAUAGCGCUUGUCUUUUCUCUGGACAGCAGCCACCUAAGGGGUGUGAAGGGCUGUCUCAUGAUGGCUUCGGUUUGCAUCUCUUUAGUGAGUAGCCAUCUUCAGCACCUUCUCCCAUGCCCGUUGGCCACCUGUCAAUCAUCUUUGGGGAAGUGAUGAAGGGACUUUUUGCCGGGUGUGGCUAUAGGGGAUGGUGCUGCACCGGAGACCCAGGAGCGGUGUCCGCCUUCAGGUCUGAAGAUCAAGAAGAGGGCGUGGGUACCAGCAUCGCAGAGCAGGGCCUCCCAGCAGGAUGGAGGACCCUGGAGAGGGAUGAGGCCACAGCCAGAACAGGGCCCCAGCAGGGGAAGCAGGACAAUUCUUUCUCCUCCUGCCUGGGUGUGGUGGGCAGGGCAGAGCAGGGCGACGGAGGGAGCUGGCAAUUACUUUAGGGGGAAGGGAGGCCACUAGAAUAACUCGCCAAAGAAGUGUUUGUUCCUGCCUUCAUUUUAUAGUUGGGAAUACUGAAUGAAGUUGGCACAGCAAGCAGGUGGACGGACCAAGAUUUGAAUUCUGGCCAGGGGCUGCCAGCCUGAGGGCGCUAGCCAUUAGCUCACACUGCCCCCCAGCAGUAGGCGGUGCUUAGAGCUGUGAGGGGCGGGGCAGUGCGCCAGCCCCUCCCUCAGCAUGCUGUUGCUCCACCUCCUCCUCCUUCCUUUUAGAGCUCAGUGGGGCUGAACUUGAUCCUGUUCUUGAUGGCAGGGGAGGAAAUGUUACCCACCAAAAAGCUCGGCCCCCUAUGAGGCUCUGACUGUGACUUACUCUUAUCAGCUCCUGGAGCCUCCAAAUUCUAGAUCUGAAAGAGACCCCCCAGUUUCUCUGGACCAAAUCUCUCAUUGUCCGGAGGAGAAACUGAGGCCCAGACUCGUUUCUAGGAAUAGAACUCAGGCCUCCUUGUGGGCUCCUCCCAGGGUGGCCUGAGCCCCCUCUACUCCCAGAGCCCGUCAUUAUGGUCCCUCAUACCCCAGGAGACCACAGUCCUGGGUCCUCGUCCAUCUAUGCAGCCGUUCCCUGGGCUGCUCUUUGGCCCCACUCUCCUGGGUCAGGAUGCCCUCCCACACUCUAGGUCAAGAAAGAAAUUGGGUUGGUGGCCACAUGACCAGCCCUCUGGGAGGAGAGCCUGUUUUCAAGUAGAGGCCCCAAGGACUGCCAUGUGCACCAGUGGUCGGGGCAGGGUGGCCACUUUCCUCUGUCCAGUUCCCAACUCAGGCUCUGGGAGAUGCGCCUGCAGCCCAGAGGCCCUCUGAAGUUUCCGGAAGAGUCAUGGGGUGGGGACUGCCCACAGGAAGGGCUUCUAGCAGUACCCGGGGCAGCUGGAGCCUUGCUUUGGAGGUGCUGGAUGCUGGUGAGGCCAGGGGCAGGCGGCUCUGAGCCCUUUUCCCGCCCCUUCCCUGGAGUUCUGCUUGGCAACCACCCGUCUGCAUUUUUGCAAAGUGAAGUCAUCUGCAGAUAAUGGGUUUUCCGUUCCUGGUGGAGCAGGAGUUCCAGACAUGGGGCUCUGGGGGAGGUUCUCAAGACAGCUGAUUGUCCAUCCCUUAGGUAAGGGGGGGCUGGGUGGACCCCUCCCUGUGACCGCCACUUAAGAGGUGUAAAUCAGGGCCAUUGUCUCAGGGCUCCAAGACUCCCCUGCCAAAACAGCUGGGUUCCCAGAGAUGAGCCUCUCCUUAUUGCUUUCUUGUACAGAUGGGAGUAUCAGACCCAGAGAGCCUGUGACCUUGCCCAAGCUCACACAGCAUUCAGAGGCGAAAUCUGGACUCACACCAUGUGUGAUAACAUGCCCAUGGCUCGGGGCUUUUCAAUCUCAAAACCACUGACAUUUCGGGCUGAAGGGUUUUGUUGGGGGCGGGGGGGCUGCUCUGCCCCUUUGGGAUGUGCAAAACAGAUCCCCGGGGGCUGGUGGGACCUGGCAGCAUCAUAUUCCAUCAUUUCAAAUACAGCAGUUGAGGGGGGUGGCAAUAGGAGAAGCUGGAGAAAGCCUUUUCGUCCAGGAAGAAAGGGACCCUCCUCCUCCUGAGCCCUUCAUCCAUCGCUGUCGGCAGAAGAGCGUUCUUGAGUCUGAAGCCCGAGGGAUGCGCUGUCUGGGGGCCACCUUCACGUCAGACACCUGGGGGAUGUUGAGGCAGCUGGAGGGGGCUUUGAGGGACUGGAGAGGGUCCAGGACCUCCUGCCGGCUAGGAAUACUGCUUCCUCUGACCACUGCUCAUGGAGCAAAGCUGCUGAUUUAUUUUCUUGGGGAAAUAAAAAUAAAUACUGGCUUUUGUACUCUCAUCCCCAGUCCCAUCUGGAAAAAGCAGGCUCAUGGAGCUUGGCUGUCUGAACGCCGAGGGCUGUGUCUGCAGGAAUCUGGAGUCACGACGUUCCCUCCAACAUCGGAAUGGGCACGGCCAACGUUUCCUUUCCUGUUACAUGGCUCCUUGGAAUGUCCACCCCGGGAGGCAGUCCGUGGGCAGGCGGAAUGCAGUGGGAAGAAGCUCUGCCCAGGCCACGGGCCAGCUCGGCUUCUGACUGCUGUGUGACUGGGAGCACCGCUGUGUUCCUCUCUGGGCCUUGAUUUCCCUGCCUGCAGAGUGGGGGAGCGGCAGUUCUCAAUCUGGCUUCCCUGGACCACCCGCAUCAGAUCCACUGAAGCAAAGUGUUCAAAAUGCACACUCCUGGUUCUUCUCUCAGACCUCCUGAAGUUUUUAUGAACUUCCAAGGGACUUGAUGUGGACAACUUUUAGGACCCACAGUGCCCAGGACUCUGAAGUCCCCUCCUUCCAGAUGUCCACUUUUGAACACCUUAUGGUCCUGCAGAUUCUCCCCCCGGCACCACCACCAUAACCGAGUGUGAGGGUCUCGCCUGAGGCGAGAGGGUGGAAUUACGUGGUGGGAGAGAAACUGUCUGCUUUCCAGCUCUUGUCAGGGUCCCGAGGUCCUCGAUCCAACUGAAGUCACUGUUAAAGCACUUAUUUCUCCGCUGGUGAAAUUCUAGCUGCUAGUUACAGAGUUUGGUCUCGAAAUUGUGCCAUUUAUUAUUUUUGUUGGAUCGGCUUGUAAACCGGUGCACAGUCAAACAUCAUUUAUAGCUCAUUAUUCCACAGAAUGCAUUUUCCAGAUGAGGUCGGGUCCUGCUAAAAACGUGAAGCCCUUCCUUUGUAAAGAUGGAAGUCUUUCCCAAUGGGUCACCUAUUUCUGCCAUCCUAAGUGAAGUUCAGGGAGCAGAUUUCACUGGUUUUCGUUGCCCCAGGUUGUUGUUGUGAGCUCCAACGUUGUGUGCAUUGCUGAUUUUGAGGACUCCUCAACAGUGUGGUCACUACAGCUGGGCACUGAAUGUCCCCCAAGCUGCUAAGUCCUUGUGUCUGUUUUUCAAAGCUUUGCUGUUAUUUUUAUAUUUUUAAAAAUCUUUCUUAUUUAAAAGGAAUCUGCAGUUACAUUUCAUCACAUCCUGGCUCCUUUGGGUGGAAAACCAGUAUCCCACACGUGUUAGAUUUGUCUGCAUUAGAAGAGAUGACAAAUGGGAAGAGUCUCAGAUGAGUCAGGGCAAGGACUUUUGAA